UUAAACUUGAAAUAGGAAGCCUUGUGUGAG
rnacentral:piRNA from 1 species